UGAGCCAGAUUGUGGACUCUCAGUUCACUAGGAAGGGGCUGUCAGGUUCCAGCAACCCAGCCAGCCUUUCCUCACCAGCCUCAGGCCGCCAUCUCCUACCCUGUGUCCUACAGGAAGCAACUCCAGAAAAUCAGGGUCCAAGUGCUCCCAUUAAAUCAUGGCCAUGGACUCAGGAUCCUGAUACCAGUAUGCAACUUGGCCUUAAAGAUCACCCAGGACUCAUUAAAACCCAGGAGGGAGCCGGGUCCAGUAGUGCAGGCCAGUAAUCUCAGCUACUAGGGAGACUGAGAUAGGAGAAUAGUAAAUUUGAGGCCAGCCUGGGCAACAAAAAAAUAUAUAAAGGCUAGAAAAAAUAGAAGGCCUAGAACCUGCCUCAACCUCAUCUCCGUGGUCCACACUCCAGCUCCAGGCUCUACUGUCAGGAUUGCUUCCCUGCCAUGCCCAGGACAGGGAAGCUGGUACAGAGGUCUCUGUGUCUUGGUCUCCCACAUGUCCAUCUCCAAGGGAUGGAAAGCAUCCAGGUGACUGCCUUCAGAUAAAAGCAUUCUUGGUGUCAGAGCCCAUGGGAGAACAGGGAUGAGAGCUCCGUGUCCCCUGGGAAACCAGCUUCAGUUCUGUAGCAACAGCUUGUAAUUACACCAACCAGGUGGGUAGUAGAAAUGAUGAUUAAGGCAUGAAUGAAAAAUGAAAGACCCCUUUGAUUAUGCAUGCUGGAGAUUUGGUUCACUGCAAGCCCCUGGGAUCAAUCCCCAGUGCCAUUCCCCCAAAAUACCAUAUACUUUAUGUCCCCAAAAUAUUAUACAUCCCAAGAAGAAUUGUGUCCUAGGGGAUUCCCUUUAGGUCACCAAAGACUGCUCCAGAUCUGGCCUUGUCCCUCUGAUUGUCAUAGCAGCUUACACAGCAGAGCCCUCUGGCUUCCAUCAGCAGUGUGUGUGGCCUGAUUUGUGUGCUUUAUAAACACAGCUCACCAUGGUAGGAGGCAAGGACCUGCACAACCACAGCUGUGUGACCACAGGCCAGACGACUCACCCUUUGAACCCUGGCUCCCCUGCUGCCCUGUGAGGGGGAUAAUAACCUUGGCUGGGCCAUGGCCCAGGCUGUGGGCACUCAGCUACACCCCUCCUGGUGAGAAUGAAUGAGGAACUGACUUGGACCUGGGGCAUACAUCAUAUAGAGAUCUCAAGGUACUGGGUAUUGAACUCAGGACCCUGUGCUUGCAAGGCAGGCUAGGUGCCACUGAGCUAAAUCCCCGGCCCAUCAACAUCACCAUCAAUAGAAGCUGAAGAUCCACCCGUGUGAUGUGCAGGCCCCAUUUCCAGGACUCUGUCCUUUGGGAGUGCUGUCCCAGGGCCCCUGAGAUACACACACAGAUAUGUUUAUGGUUCAUGAGCUACAGAGCAUGGGAAACCACCCAAGUGUUCCUUAGUAAGGGGCCGGGCAGUCAAGUUUCAGCACAGCUGGACAACAGCAAACCCACACAGCUGUGAGAAAGCAUGUCCUGGGAAGCCAGGUGCAGUAGCACAUGCCUAUAGUCCUACUUACUUGGCAGGCUCAGGCAAGAGGCUCAGGCUCAGGCUCAGCCAACGUCAUUCUGGGCAAUGCAGGAAGACUACAGCUCUUAAAAGAAAUAGCAGAAAUGCGUCCCAAAAAGAAGUGAAAAAAAGCUGUAAUCCAAAUAUUCUGAGAGGCAGAGGAAGGAGGAUCACAAGUUUGAGCCCAUCCUGAGCAACUUAGCAAGACCCUGUCUCACAAUAAAAAAUUAAAAGGGCUGGGGUUGUAGCUCAGUGUGAAGGCCCUGGGUUCAAUCCCCAGUACUGCCCAAAAC
ensembl:lncRNA